UGUAAGUCUGCGAAGGUGUGUCGAGAGGCAUGCUGGAGAUAUCAGAAGUGCGAAUGCUGACGUAAGUAACGAUAAAGGGGGUGAAAAGCCUCCUCGCCGGAAGACCAAGGGUUCCUGUCCAACGUUAAUCGGGGCAGGGUGAGUCGACCCCUAAGGCGAGGCCGAAAGGCGUAGUCGAUGGGAAGCAGGUUAAUAUUCCUGCACGACUUGUAAUUGCGAUGGGGGGACGGAGAAGGCUAGGUGGGCCAGGCGACGGUUGUCCUGGUGAAAGUGCGUAGGUGGUGUUUCUAGGCAAAUCCGGAGACACAACACUGAGACACGAGACGAACGCACUACGGUGCGGAAGCCAUUGAUGCCCUGCUUCCAGGAAAAGCCUCUAAGCUUCAGAUUACAAGUCAUCGUACCCCAAACCGACACAGGUGGUCGGGUAGAGAAUACCAAGGCGCUUGAGAGAACUCGGGUGAAGGAACUAGGCAAAAUAGAACCGUAACUUCGGGAGAAGGUUC
rnacentral:rRNA from 1 species